UAUAAAAGCUUCUCUAUUUAUGUUGGAACGUAAGAGGCGCCAAUUGUUACGGCGGUGGGCCUCCAACAAAUACGUUCUAUAUAUUUGUUAUGAUAUAUAGAGAUCCCCACAAAAAGUAAAAUAGAAAAGACAAGAGAGAAAGAAGACAAAUCAAAAAAUCUGGUACGUUGUCAUAGAAGCAAAACUAAGAAUAACUUUAUUGAAAAAAAUAACUCAUCACUAUAUGCAAUCUUCGGCAAGUGCUAAUUAAUUAUGACGACUCCCGGCUUCAUUAACCAAAUAAUCCCGACCUAUCUAUUUAUAACUAAUUAUAUAGAAUCCUACUCUGAUUUGAUUUCAUCUUAACCAUAAUUUAAAUAAUAACCGAAUAUAAUAAUGGAUAACAUUAAAUAAUCUAAUCCUAAUCUCAUUAGCAUUAUCUUUAACACA
rnacentral:lncRNA from 1 species